UACGGAGGGUGCGAGCGUUAUCCGGAUUCACUGGGUUUAAAGGGUGCGUAGGUGGGUUGGUAAGUCCGGGGUGAAAUCUCCGAGCUUAACUCGGAAACUGCCGUGGAUACUAUCAAUCUUGAAUACUGUGGAGGUAAGCGGAAUAUGUCAUGUAGCGGUGAAAUGCUUAGAUAUGACAUAGAACACCGAUAGCGGAGGCAGCUUGCUACACAGUCAUUGACACUGAGGCACGAAAGCGUGGGGAGCAAACAGG
rnacentral:rRNA from 1 species